rnacentral:misc_RNA from 1 species
CGGAGCUCCUCUCGCUGCCGCCGCCGGCGGCGGUCCAUUCCCUCCUCGCGGUGGCGAAACUCGACCGGACCGGGCUCUUUAGCUCCGGCCGGUCGAGCCAAACCUCAUGGUGGUCCCCUCUCCCUCUCUCUCCACCGUUUUCUUCACCAACCCGCUCAACUCCGCCGACAUCCGGCAACCGUCUCUGCCAAAAGCUGCUCAAUCUCACCUUCCCCGGUCCCCCUCGCAGCGAGAGGCUCCAUGUGACCUCGAAUCACUCUCCUCUUUGCUUAAUUGAUGAAAAAUUGGAAGAGAUUAUGGCUAAUUGAGAUUUCAUUAUUUGCAGGAUUUGGGUCUCGUGCGCUGCGCGUGCCGGAGCGGCUGAGCACGCCUAUAAAGCUGAGGAAGAGCAAGGAAAUUGGGGCGACUCUCGGGGAAGGACAAGCCGAGCCAAGCUCAAGGCAAUUCCGAUUUUGAGAAUCCUUUCGCCGAAGGAGUUCGCCGGAGAUUUAAUGAAAAGAGCAAUGGAAGUUUUUGAUUAAUUUUUAUGUAGCAAUUGUGUUGAUUUGAUGAAGUUUUUUUUUUAUUCGGUUUAUAGUUUCUAUGUAUAAAAUUCAGACGAG